GAGGGAAGACUAGCGAAUUCCAGAGGGACCCUCACCUAUGGCAACUGAGUGCUGAAAUGUGGAGGAAUGGCCUCAGCCCCAGCAUGCCAUAUGGUGAAAUAUCACACCUGAGAAUAGGAGAGAGGCCGAGCUCUGCUCUUGGCUUUUCUUCCUUGUUUCCAAGAUGGCAGCCUUUCCAUUCUCUCUCAUCCUGGGCUUGGUCAUUUGAUCUGCUUUGCCCAAGCAAUAUUUGUUGUUGUAAAAAUAUAAAAAAUAAAAAAAGUAUGGUUGUCUUUUAUCCCCACUAGGUCCGGCAACAUGGUGCCCCAAGAUAUCUGUUAGAUAUCUUAAGUCUCAGUCAGCAAAGUGUCUCACCUGCUCUGCUCCAUCCCGUAUCACACUGCCAAAAGCCUCUCUCUGAGCCGUCAGCAAUCUCUCUACCUAGCUAGUUCCCAAGGCAGGUUUCUAUGCCAGAAACACACAUCCCAAUUCCACAGCGGCCCAGUGUCUCCAGCCACUCCACUGCACACUUUCCUACACUCAAACCGUCACAUAAAGAAACACACAACACAAUAACCUUUGACCCAAUUGAUAAGAUAUAAUUGCCCACCUAAACAUACAAAGCCCAGUACCAUCCAUCCCUUAAGAACAUUAAUAACAACCUGUAAAGGUACAAUGUGGAAUCUUAACGUCACCUGCCAUAUUGUCCUGCCACAGCUUCUCUCCCUGUCCUUCCUGUUUCUUCCCCUUUUCAUUCCAGUUUCCUCCUCUUCCUUCAAACUUCUCUCCCACCCAUCCUUCCAUCUCAUCUAAUGACAGGCCUCUUUCUAUCAUGUACCUGCCCCUCACCUGUGUUUUACAAAUUCAAUGGGGCGAAGGUUCUGGUGAAGUCACCUGAGUCCUGAGUAGUGACUAGGCAGCUGUCCUUGGGGCAGUGGAAUUAGCAUCAAAAUACAGAUAACUCCAGGGCAAACCACAACAAAUAUUUACAAAUGUUUUGUAAUAAUCAAGUUAUUAAGCACCUUUGGGGGUUAGGGCUUAGUUUUGCAUAGUACUCCUGGGAACACUUCCAUGAAAGCAGUCCCAGAAUGGCUUACUGAAUGUCAUUGGACUCCCUAGACAGACGGCCACCAACCAACCACCACAUGUGUGAAGUCCCCUCUGACACAAGUGUCUGAGUAAGUCCAGCUAAGACAACAGAAGAACUGCACAGCUAGCCUUACCCAAUUUGACGACCCACAACUCAGGCAGUAAAUAAGCAGUGCCUAAGCCCCUGUGUUCAGGGCUGGCCUGCUGUAUAUCAGCAGGUAACCGGGAUAGUGGGUAGUGGCACUGUCAGUGAAUAAAGGUCCUGGGUGUUGAGCUCUCCCUGUCAGCCCUUAGAGGAGCAUCUGUGCCUGACAUCACAGCCUGGUUCUUAUGGUGGUUUGAAUAGGAAUGGCCCCCAUGCACUCAUUGGUUUUGAAUACUUGGUGACCAGGGAAUGACACUACUAAGAGGUGUGGUUGGAGGAGGUGUGUUGUGGCCUCUUCUCUCAGCUCCUUCUCCAGCACCAGGUCUGCCUGCACACUGCCAUGAAGGUAUUGACCUAAUCCUCAGAGCUGUGAACCAGCCCCAAUUAAAUGUUUUUAUAAGAGUCUCCAUGGUCGUAGUGUCUCUUCACAGUAACAGAAACCCUACGAUGGAUCCCAUCCACAAAAGUUUCUACAAUAGACUGACGGACUGGGAAGGGACUAUGGCCAAGAAGCCAGCCUAUCUGUGGGUUUUUUUGGGGGUUUGUACCUGAACUCACCCUAGAAAAGGUGAAGAACACUGUAGUCCAUGAUCCCUGUCCUGAUGGUGUUCAGACUAAUGCUCUAGAGAAUUGGGGAAGGGGCGGAAGAAUAAAGUAAUAUGCUACUGAA